AAAACUUUCAACAACGGAUCUCUUGGUUCCAGCAUCGAUGAAGAACGCAGCGAAAUGCGAUAAGUAAUGUGAAUUGCAGAAUUCAGUGAAUCAUCGAAUCUUUGAACGCACAUUGCGCCCCCUGGUAUUCCGGGGGGCAUGCCUGUUCGAGCGUCAUUA
rnacentral:rRNA from 1 species